rnacentral:rRNA from 1 species
GGGUCGGGCGAUUCACAGUGUUGCAUGGCUGUCGUCAGCUCGUGUCGUGAGAUGUUGGGUUAAGUCCCGCAACGAGCGCAACCCUCAUCCUUAGUUGCUAUCAGGUAAUGCUGAGUACUUUAAGGAAACUGCCAGUGAUAAGCUGGAGGAAGGUGGGGAUGAUGUCAAGUCAUCAUGACCUUUAUGGAGUGGGCUACACACGUGCUACAAUGGUGUCUACAAUGGGUUGCAAGGUGCGCAAGCCUAAGCUAAUCCCUAAAAGACAUCUCAGUUCGGAUUGUACUCUGCAACUCGAGUACAUGAAGUUGGAAUCGCUAGUAAUCGUGGAUCAGCAUGCCACGGUGAAUACGUUCUCGGGUCUUGUACACACUGCCCGUCACGCCAUGGGAAUUGGUUCCCUUCAAACCUAA